GGAGUUAGCCGGUGCUUCUUCUGUGAGUGAUGUCCUUCCUGCCGGCUAUUAACCCGCAGGCCUUCUUCCUCACUGAAAGUGCUUUACAACCCGAAGGCCUUCUUCACACACGCGGCAUGGCUGGAUCAGGGUUGCCCCCAUUGUCCAAUAUUCCCCACUGCUGCCUCCCGUAGGAGUCUGGGCCGUGUCUCAGUCCCAGUGUGGCUGAUCAUCCUCUCAGACCAGCUACGGAUCGUCGCCUUGGUGAGCCGUUACCUCACCAACCAGCUAAUCCGACAUAGGCUCAUCCGAUAGCGCGAGGCCCGAAGGUCCCCCGNUUUCCCCCGUAGGGCGUAUGCGGUAUUAGCCUGGGUUUCCCCAGGUUAUCCCCCACUACCGGGCAGAUUCCUAUGCAUUACUCACCCGUCCGCCGCUCGCCACCAGGGAGCAAGCUCCCCGUGCUGCCGCUCGACUUGCAUGUGUUAGGCCUGCCGCCAGCGUUCAAUCUGAGCCAUAAUCAAACUCUGA
rnacentral:rRNA from 1 species